CCUGUUCAUGUUACAGACCUGAAAGCUGACAGAAGAUCACAAUUGCCACUACAGCUUGAACUAAAACAUCAGCUCUUUCCAAGUCUUGAGCCUUCCA
rnacentral:lncRNA from 1 species